rnacentral:RNase_P_RNA from 1 species
CUGGUGCAAUUCUGGAAACAGAGCACUGGAGGAACGUCCGGACUGCACAGGGCAGCGUAGCAGCUAACGGCUGUCCACCGACAAGCCUGUCACGCAAGUGGCGGGCCCUAAGGUGAGGAUCAGAGCAACAGAGACGAGCCGAUUCAGUUCGGGUGAAACGGGCAAUCUCUACGCGCAGCAAUACCAAGUAGGCCAACGUUGACGGGGCCCCCGGAGUUGGCGGGUAGGUAGCAUCGAGCCAAACGGCUACGUUACUUC